rnacentral:rRNA from 1 species
AGUGAACGCUGGCGGUAGGCCUAACACAUGCAAGUCGAACGGCAGCACAGUAAGAGCUUGCUCUUACGGGUGGCGAGUGGCGGACGGGUGAGGAAUACAUCGGAAUCUACUUUUUCGUGGGGGAUAACGUAGGGAAACUUACGCUAAUACCGCAUACGACCUACGGGUGAAAGCAGGGGAUCUUCGGACCUUGCGCGAUUGAAUGAGCCGAUGUCGGAUUAGCUAGUUGGCGGGGUAAAGGCCCACCAAGGCGACGAUCCGUAGCUGGUCUGAGAGGAUGAUCAGCCACACUGGAACUGAGACACGGUCCAGACUCCUACGGGAGGCAGCAGUGGGGAAUAUUGGACAAUGGGCGCAAGCCUGAUCCAGCCAUACCGCGUGGGUGAAGAAGGCCUUCGGGUUGUAGAGCCCUUUUGUUGGGAAAGAAAAGCAGCAGGUUAAUACCCCGCUGUUCUGACGGUACCCAAAGAAUAAGCACCGGCUAACUUCGUA